GGGUUGACGCCAUUCUCCUGCCUCAGCCUCCUGAGUAGUUGGGAUUACAGGCGCCCGCCACCGCGCCUGGCUAAUUUUUUGUAUGUUUAGUAGAGACGGGGUUUCACCGUGUUAGCCAAGAUGGUCUCGAUCUCCUGACCUCGUGAUCCGCCUGCCUCGGCCUCCGGCCUCCCAAAGUGCUGGGAUUACAGGCGUGAGCCACCGCGCCCGGCCCUCACUGUUGUCUUUUAAGUAGUGAAACAGGAAUGUCUCUCUGAUCAGAAAGCACAAUUAAGAUUCUGCAGAAAAGGAAAUCCAGCUCGGUGCCACCAAUCUGUACUAGGAAUGAAGAUUUGUUACCUGUCCUGCUGACGUCAGACCCAGCACCAGGUGCAGAAGCAACCAUCAUACAAAAAUCAAGCUUCCUUAAUUAUGUAAGUCAAAUUCUUGUAAUAAAUCCUUUACAUAUUG